ACUCACUUAAAUACGUUAGUUCCGGGUCGUGGGAGUGACUUUGAACCUGAGGUUCAAAUUCUGAGAAUAGAAUUUACUAAUUACUGUGGUUGGAAGAGCGUCACCAUGUUUCUGUGUAAACGGCUAACUAAUGCAAAAACUUUCACGGAUACACCCUGAGAACAUUAUGUUAUAUCAAGUCAUGCAUUGACUGCAAACACAAGAUGAGAAUGAUGAAGAUGGAGGAAUUAAAAUGUAGCUCCACAUAAUGUGCCAUGUGUACAAUAUCUGACAGAUCCACCCACCACAUAUAAAUAGCAAAUUACACAGCAUAUGCCUAUUAAUUCAACUGCAAUAUGGACCACUAAGUAACACAACCUUUACUUUUCACUGAAAAAUCCCAAACAAUCCCUGACAAUAGCAAAGUCAGCAAAGGUAGCACAAGAGAUAGCAUCACAGGGCUAGUAAACUAUAACUGGCGGUAUGACUCUGUCAAAACAACAUGAAAUCUUAUAGGUGCUUAUAUCAGGAAGGCACACAAAUAAUCAUUUGAAUUACAACGAGUGGAGGAGCUAGCUGGCUAAAUUAACCAAGUAGAUGUUGGUUGGAAAAUCACAUAACACAAAUGCAAUAUAAGACAAGUAACAUCAAUUUAUUUGCACAGCAACACCAUACUGUACCAUUCAAGUGCAGUUUUCCUCUAACCUGUCUUUAUGACAUUGUCUAUAAAACAAAGAAUGCAGUACAAAAAAAUAAAGUGGAAUUGAAUUCAACAAAAAUGGUGACAGUGACAGUUUGCUAACAUCUUGAUUGACAAGUUCUUUAUGGUAUUAACUAAAGCCAUGUUUGAUAGCUUGAUUUUCACUGGAAUGUGACCAAAAUGUUAUUGAGAAAGACAAGCAUCCCUGAUAACUGAUAAUUCAAUGUUUCUCAGUCCUGGUCUUGGAAGCCUGUGUGUCCACUGGUGUGUGUUCUACAGUAGUAAGCUAUGUAUUGUAAUGAGCUGCUAAUUGUUCUUAGACACUAAUUGUUCUUAAUUGGCCUUUUUUAAUGACAAAUGACCCUCAUGCCUCAUUAUGCUAGAAAUAGCAAUGUAUGCUCUUAAAAAUAAAUGUCCCAUAUUCACAUUCUAGGAAUUUCACAGAUGCUUUCAUUUACUGUGCUGUAUGCACUACAUAGCAAAUAAUUUCAGUUGAAAGAGGUUAUAGCUAAUUGAUUCACUUACAAACUGACAGGUGAACUCAGUUGGGUCCCAUUUGCUCAGUGUGUGGAAACCUGAAACUACUGUAUUUGUGUAAUAUGAAUGGAGUUUACUGACAGAAAAUGGCAACAAGCCAAACAUGCAUUGUUUUACACACAAUUAUGGUGGAACACACUUUCAAGAACUUAUUUGAUUAAGAGAUCGGCCAUGACAAAUCUACACAGUGGGUCCCCAGGACCAGGGUUGAGAAACAAUGAUAACUCAAACCAAAAACAUUUAUUCAGCAUGGAGCACUAUUAACAAGGAAAGCUACGAGUGAUGUUUUGAGAUUUUAUAAUUCUGUGUGCCAAUUAGCAAAGAAAAAUACUACAAAAUGCAUUGUGGGUACUGUCAAUCUGGUAAAUGUCAUUGGUAGAACUGUAUAUGUUUUGUUACAAAUUGAUGCUGGCAAAUGCCUUUGAUUUAAUAUAUACAUAUAUUUUAAACAUAAGUAAUAUAGUAAUACACCUUAUUGAUUACUGGUCUUACUAAAUAAAGAUCAUUAAGUGGACAAAUACUACCAAUCCCCAUACACCAGACGUAAUGUUUACUUUACAAUGUUAAAAUUUCAGCCAUGAAAUAUGGCUGAUCGGUUUUCAGAAGAACCUAGUAUUGAUAUUAAUGCAAACCAUUACCCAAAAUGCACUACCAAUCAC